UGGGGAAUCUUCCGCAAUGGACGAAAGUCUGACGGAGCAACGCCGCGUGAGUGAAGAAGGUCUUCGGAUUGUAAAGCUCUGUCGUUUGGGACGAACGUAUUCUAUGUGAAUAAUGUAGAGUAAUGACGGUACCAAAGGAGGAAGCCACGGCUAACUACGUGCCAGCAGCCGCGGUAAUACGUAGGUGGCAAGCGUUGUCCGGAAUUAUUGGGCGUAAAGGGCGUGUAGGUGGAUUUUUAAGUCGUGUGUCUAAGUGCGGGGCUCAACCCCGUAUAGGCGCAGGAAACUGGAGAUCUUGAGUGCAGGAGAGGAAAGUGGAAUUCCCAGUGUAGCGGUGAAAUGCGUAGAUAUUGGGAGGAACACCAGUGGCGAAGGCGACUUUCUGGACUGUGUCUGACACUGAGGCGCGAAAGCCAGGGGAGCGAACG
rnacentral:rRNA from 1 species